AUCACGAUGCAAUGAGAAAGAUGUGAACCAGGUCAGGAUCGGAAGAUAGCAGCCUUAAACAUACGAUUUCAUGUGCAUCAUUUUUUG
rnacentral:SRP_RNA from 1 species